UACGAAGGGGGCUAGCGUUGUUCGGAAUCACUGGGCGUAAAGGGCGCGUAGGCGGCUUUGUAAGUCGGGGGUGAAAGCCUGUGGCUCAACCACAGAAUUGCCUUCGAUACUGCAUGGCUUGAGACCGGAAGAGGUAAGUGGAACUGCGAGUGUAGAGGUGAAAUUCGUAGAUAUUCGCAAGAACACCAGUGGCGAAGGCGGCUUACUGGUCCGGAUCUGACGCUGAGGCGCGAAAGCGCGGGGAGCAAACAGG
rnacentral:rRNA from 1 species